AUUUAUAUAGUAUAUAUAGUACAACUGACUUCCAAUCAGUUAGAUUGAUUUAAUCAAUAUAAAUA
rnacentral:tRNA from 1 species